AUUGAACGCUGGCGGAAUGCUUUACACAUGCAAGUCGAACGGCAGCACGGACUUCGGUCUGGUGGCGAGUGGCGAACGGGUGAGUAAUGGAUCGGAACGUGCCCAGUCGUGGGGGAUAACGUAGUGAAAAUUACGCUAAUACCGCAUACGAUCUAUGGAUGAAAGCGGGGGAUCGCAAGAUCUCGCGCGAUUGGAGCGGCCGAUAUCAGAUUAGGUAGUUGGUGGGGUAAAGGCCCACCAAGCCAACGAUCUGUAGCUGGUCUGAGAGGACGACCAGCCACACUGGAACUGAGACACGGUCCAGACUCCUACGGGAGGCAGCAGUGGGGAAUUUUGGACAAUGGGCGAAAGCCUGAUCCAGCCAUUCCGCGUGCAGGAUGAAGGCCCUCGGGUUGUAAACUGCUUUUGUACAGAACGAAAAGGUUUCUACUAAUACUAGGAGCUCAUGACGGUACUGUAAGAAUAAGCACCGGCUAACUACGUGCCAGCCGCCGCGGUAA
rnacentral:rRNA from 1 species